rnacentral:piRNA from 1 species
UAGAAGGUUCUCAAGUGGAGGAGAAGAGC